UAUUUUCCUUUUGUUCCAGCCGCCGCGGUAAUACGUAUGGUGCAAGCGUUAUCCGGAUUUACUGGGUGUAAAGGGAGCGUAGACGGAUGGGCAAGUCUGAUGUGAAAACCCGGGGCUCAACCCCGGGACUGCAUUGGAAACUGUUCAUCUAGAGUGCUGGAGAGGUAAGUGGAAUUCCUAGUGUAGCGGUGAAAUGCGUAGAUAUUAGGAGGAACACCAGUGGCGAAGGCGGCUUACUGGACAGUAACUGACGUUGAGGCUCGAAAGCGUGGGGAGCAAACAGG
rnacentral:rRNA from 1 species